AAAGUGGUCAGCAUUUUCAGGCAGCCACCCAGUUGUACAUGCUUGAGGAAAUCCUUUCUGACCAGCAGACUAUUGAUUCUGAAAAAGGCUAUACUCAAUCAUAAAUCUUGAGCUAUUUGACACAGAAAAUUGCAUCUAUGGUAGUCCACAAAAACCUUUCAUCUGCAAUCACAUGAGUAGGUUGUACCAAAAAAGUGAUGAGGUGUGGUGUGUUUGGAGUGCCAUCAGUCCCAUGGCAGUCCAACGGCUGCUGUGUUGGCAUCUGGAAUGUCCUUUCCCCUGGGAUUUGAUUGUGAGGGCAGACCUAAAGACCUUUUCUCGUGGCCUGCACUUCUCCUCAGGAGAUGGUAACACAUAAAACACCACUCUGGUCUAUUUUUCACAGAGAGCUGAACAGACAAUGAGCUGAAAACCACGCCUGUUUCCAGCUUCCUCAGGACAAGAAACCAUUUAAAGGAAAAAUCAUCUGAAGGAUUUUGUAAUUUUAAAUUUACCAUUAAGGUCUGAUAAUAACAUGGCAAAAAGUGCUUUAGGCCUCCUAA